rnacentral:rRNA from 1 species
AUUGAACGCUGGCGGCAUGCCUUACACAUGCAAGUCGAACGGUAACAGGUUAAGCUGACGAGUGGCGAACGGGUGAGUAAUGUAUCGGAACGUGCCCAGUCGUGGGGGAUAACUGCUCGAAAGAAGCAGCUAAUAACCGCAUACGACCUGAGGGUGGAAAGACGGGGGAGUCGCAAGACCUCGCGCGAUUGGAGCGGCCGAUAUCAGAUUAGGUAGUUGUGGGGUAAAGGCCUACCAAGCCUACGAUCUGUAGCUGGUCUGAGAGGACGACCAGCCACACUGGGACUGAGACACGGCCCAGACUCCUACGGGAGGCAGCAGUGGGGAAUAUUGCGCAAUGGGCGAAAAGCCUGACGCAGCGACGCCGCGUGU